rnacentral:misc_RNA from 1 species
AAUUCUCAACCUCACCUGGUUUUCUAACCUGUGUGAUGGUUUGGACUUGGGAGUUGUGCAGGCUGCAGUCUUCUGCGGUUCUGCUCUCCUUAAAUGUAUUAGCAGGUCUUUUACCUCUAUCCCAAUGGUGUGAUAAUCUAUCUACGCUGCUGGUUUGGAAGACCCUUUACUGGGGAGACCGGCUUCUAACUGUCUGCAAGGACAAAUUUGACCAA